UUUGAAGAAAUGACAACUGAGAUCUGAAAGAAUAACAUAAUAAAAUAUUUAGUAACAUAUGUAAAAACGUAAGAUGGGGUAAUGAAGGUGUAGUGUGGACGGGAAUACACCAGGCAGAGGGAACAGCGUAUGCAAAGGCCCAAGGCAGGAGUGAGCCUGGUAAAUUCAAGGAACUGAAGGAAGACUGAUGAAGCAGGAGGGUAGGGAAGCCUAAGGAAACCAUUGUGAAAUGAGGCUGGAGAGCUAGGGGAGGCACAAUGUAGGACCUUGUAGGCUGUGCUAAGAAUGUGAUCUUUUGUCUUCCCUUCUGAUACAAUGGAAGAAAAAAACCAAAGUAGACUUAGUUCUUGAGUAUGUCCUGGUUUCUCCCACUCAGAUUAUCCUGGGCCCUGAGGCCCAAAGAAGAGAGAGUAUAAAGAAAGUCCGUGUCACUGAAAUCUGGGGGAAAUUUUAAGAGCACAGGGGAACAUGAGAAGAUUCAACAGCAUGGGUUGUACAGCUUCAGUUGCUCGAAGGGUGUGUCCCACAGACAUGGACAUAAGCAGCAUUAGCAACACUGAAUUUUGGGCAGUAGUCAUUGCCCCAAAGAGCUCAAGCAAGAGAAAAGAAAAACCACAAAGGAAAUUGUGAUGAUCAGUUUUAUGUGACAAGCUGGCUAGGCUACAUUAUUCAAACACCACUCUAGGUGUUGCUGUGAAGGUAUUUAGUACAUCUAAUUGACUUUUACAAUCAGGUGGUUUUAAAUAAAGAUUAUCCUUGAUAAUUUGGGUCGGCUCAACGCAAUCAGUUGAAAGGUCUUAGAGCAGAACAGAUGUUUCUUUGUUGUUGUUAGACGCCAUCCGGGCGGCACCGACUCAUAGUAACCUUACUUACAACAAAACAAAAUGUUGCCUGGUCCUGCACCAUCCUCAUAAUCGUUGCUAUGUUGGAGGCCUUUGUUGCAGCCGCUGUGCCCUGAGAGAGAAAAAAAUUCUACCCUUGGACUGCAGCUUCAGCUUCAGCCUCAGUUUCCAGCCUGCCCUUCCUAAUAGCUAGCAGCUACCCCUUUGGAUUUUGGACUUGCCUGCCAACUCUCACGGUUGCGUGGUGCAAACGGUUAACGCACUUGCUGCUAACCAAAAAGUUGGCGUUUGAGUUCACCCAGAGGCACCUCGGAAGAAAGCCCUGGCGAUCUGCUUCCAAAAAAUCAGCCGCUGAAAACUUUAUGGAACACAGUUCUACUCUGACAUGUAUGGGGUCGCCGCUGUGUGACUGGCUGCUUCUCCCUGAGGAAACUGCGGUGGAACGCUAGUACCAGCCUGCCCCUGACGCUCCUGGGAAUGGUGCCUGAGGGCUCCCCACGAUUCAGGGCUAAAGGAAUUGUUCUUACUGGGGUCAUGGAGAGAUGGUUGUCAGAAUACCUCUUCAGGACAGUUAAGUUGGUGGCAGCAGCUUGGCAGUUCCUGAGCUAAACAAGGUAGCAAAGGGUCAGAACACAGAAUAAUAAUAAUAAGAGUAGCAAGAUAAUCAUUGUUGUUGAUGGGGCCAUCUAGUUGAUCCCAACUCAUAGCAACCCCAUGUGACAGAGUAUAACUGCCCCAUAUGAUUUUCUAGGCUGUAAUCUUUCUGGGACCAGAUUGCCAGUUCUUUCUCCUCAGAUUCCCUAGGUGGGUUUGAACAACCAACCUUUAGGUUAGCAACAGAGCACUUAAUCCUUUGCAAAAUAACAGCAAAUGUUUAUUGAUUAUUGUGUGCUAGGUCCUGUUUCAGGUACUUUAGUUGUAUGAACUCAUCCAGUCUUCACAACUAUUAUCUAUCCUACAAAUAAAAGCAUUUGCUUUUCAACAUUCAUUUUCAAAAAGUUUAAAGGUCAAACCAUUUUUUGGUGUAAACCUAUGAAAUUCUAUCUUCAGAGCUUAUGCUCUUUAUCAUUGCGUAAUGCAACCUCUCCAGAGAAAGUUAAUCUCCACAGGUAAAGAAUGCAGGUGUUUGCUAAUAUUUAAUACUCCUCUAUGUUGGGAAGGCCAUUGCAUAUGGUUUUAUGUAAGAGCCCUUCUGUAUAAGUCCCAGCCACCAUCCUAUCUUUGACAUGACAUCGUCAUUACAACUUGGGCGUCAGAGUGGACAUUAACUUCUAUUCGAGAAAAAUUUCCAUCUACUUCUCCUAUAUAGAGGGCAGAGAGCUACCUGAGACUUAAAUCCUUCUUUACAAGUACUUGAACUCUUUGCUGUGAAGGCUAAAUGAUAUUUCUAUCUGAAUUGCUUUUAUGAGGAAAGCUAACUGGGGGAAAAAAAACCACAUGGGCUCUUGGAGGAUGUGUAACCUGACUUCUUCACAGUUCGACUGACAUUCACAUCUUGGGUUUUACUUUUACUUUGUCAUGGUUCUCAAAGACUGCUUAGAAUGUUCCACUAUAAUUUUAAUUUCACUGCUGGCUUAUUAGCUGAUGAACUCAGCUGUUCCUAUCUGAGCAGUAUUAGGGUCUGGUAAGAUCUUAUGUCAUUCUAGAGGAAUUCAUUUAUAAACCUUGUUUACUUCGAGAUUUGAGUUGCCACAUAAAUUUGCCAGCUACAGCAUUACAGAUAGCAUUACCAAAAAGCUAUUAGCUAUUCUCUUAGUGAUAAUAUUUAUAAAUGGAAAAUAAUUACAGCCUGAAAGCACACUGUUUCCAGAGUGAAAAACAAUAAAGCUAAAGCAAUAGAGAAUAUACUAUUAGCCCUCCUGGGAGAAGGAGGCCUCCAGAGGAAUAGGAAAGAGGUUGGGGAGAAGCGUGGGACUGGGAAGCAGAAAGAAGGAAGAAGAGAAAGGAUCAAGAGAGAGGCUAGGCUCUUUGAGACAGUUGUAUACUCCAGGCUGUUCUGAGAGUGGAGACUGAAGCCUGGAGAGACCAGAAGUCUCCUACACUUACUGGGAGGAGAUUUUUUUAAAAGUAUUUUUCCAACCUGAGGGAAACUUUCUCAUGGGAAUGCUUAGUUCACAGAUGUUUUCCCAAAAGAUGCUUUCUCUUAUCUUUUCCAGAUAACUCUUUUUUAAAUUUUAAUGAACUCAACUCUAACCAGCUAGAUAAUACGUAGUCUGUCCUGAAGUUUAAUAAAUAUUUACUGAAAUAUUUAUUGAACAAUUGCUAUAUGCAAGGCACUUUGCUAGGUAUUUUGAGAGAUACCAGAAUGAGUAAGACAUUAUAUCUGCCCUCAAGAAGCUUAUGAUUUAGAAGGGAAGAGAAGACAUGUAAUACUGCAACUACUAAUACUAGCUACAGUGUGCCGGGCAUUCUCAGUGAUUUAGACGUAUUAACUCAUUUAAUCCUCAUGCCAACCUUGCAGGAAGACAUCAUCAUUUUAAUAAAUGAGGAAACUGAGAUAAGGCAUUGUUAUAUAAUGUGUUAUCCAAUGUUGAAAAUUGAGAUAGCGGGAGAUGAAAUGUUUGACUUAAGGUCAACCAGUAAAUCAGCCUCAGAGCCAGGCCCAUUACUCAGUAGGAGACUCCCGACUCCCAGACAAGGCUCCUUUUACUAAAUUAUGAAGUCUUCUCAUUUUUUCCUUAAUAAUGAAUGGGACUAGGAGAGAUUUCAACACUCCAUCGAAGACUCCUACUUAUUCUGAA